rnacentral:rRNA from 1 species
UAAGACAGAGGGUGCAAACGUUGUUCGGAAUUACUGGGCGUAAAGCGUGUGUAGGCGGCCACGUAAGUCGGAUGUGAAAGCCCCAGGCUCAACCUGGGAAGUGCACUCGAUACUGCGUGGCUUGAGUACCGGAGAGGUUGGUGGAAUUCUCGGUGUAGAGGUGAAAUUCGUAGAUAUCGAGAGGAACACCGGUGGCGAAGGCGGCCAACUGGACGGAUACUGACGCUGAGACACGAAAGCGUGGGGAGCAAACAGG